rnacentral:lncRNA from 1 species
AGCAUUCAAAAAAAGGUUUAUCUGUGAAUGACUUUUUUAGAAUUCCUUACGAAAGAUGAUCUAAAGAUGUAAAAUUCUAUGCUUGAGGGAGAUGGCUGUGUUUAUAUAUUACAUUCACCAUUUUUGAGGAAAACAAGAUGGUCCUGGGCUACAUUCUAAGCUUAUUCUUGCUGGGUAGAUGUAAAUGGCACCAAUAAUGAUGUGACAUUUUACCCUUAUUAAAGUGACCAAUUUAAAAGGUAAAUUCCAACCAGGCAAACUUACAUUUAUACAGUAUCUUCCUACAUUAUUUGAAGAGUAUAAAUUGGUAUAGCCCUGUGGAAAGUAAUUUGACAGUAUA